rnacentral:rRNA from 1 species
AGUGAACGCUGGCGGUAGGCCUAACACAUGCAAGUCGAACGGCAGCACAGUAAGAGCUUGCUCUUACGGGUGGCGGGUGGCGGACGGGUGAGGAAUACAUCGGAAUCUACUUUUUCGUGGGGGAUAACGUAGGGAAACUUACGCUAAUACCGCAUACGACCUACGGGUGAAAGCAGGGGAUCUUCGGACCUUGCGCGAUUGAAUGAGCCGAUGUCGGAUUAGCUAGUUGGCGGGGUAAAGGCCCACCAAGGCGACGAUCCGUAGCUGGUCUGAGAGGAUGAUCAGCCACACUGGAACUGAGACACGGUCCAGACUCCUGCGGGAGGCAGCAGUGGGGAAUAUUGGACAAUGGGCGCAAGCCUGAUCCAGCCAUACCGCGUGGGUGAAGAAGGCCUUCGGGUUGUAAAGCCCUUUUGUUGGGAAAGAAAAGCAGCAGGUUAAUACCCCGCUGUUCUGACGGUACCCAAAGAAUAAGCACCGGCUAACUUCGUG